AUGUGAAAGGGUCAGUCAAUGUCAACCGAUAGCCAUUGCAAUGCGGUAAAAAAGUUAUAAAAUGUUCGAAUUUUAAAUCAAAGUCAACAAAAUCUAUUGUCGGACAGCCGUGUCACAGGAGGCCACCGGUUCCCAAACUUGCGAGCCCCUGGACCCACUUAAUUGGCGCGGAGGACUGUGCGCGGAAACGAGCUGCCAGGUGCGAGGACAGACAGGUGAAUAAACGGGCCCAGAAGAGGACAGCAGGUGUGUGCGACUGAUUAAAGACUGGAGGUGGAGGUUCUUGUCACCAGGAGACGACUGGUGUCAAAACCCCUCCUCCCCAUGUCGCCCGUCAUUCCGCCCCUCCGUAAUUCAAGCAGGACUGGCUCAACUGGACAGUGCUUAUUGCCCUCUCUCUCGACUCCAGUUAUGGCAGGAUGGCUUCCCUCUUCGCCUCCAGCCAUGUGUGUCUGAAAUUCAAUCAUUGCAGCUACCCCGAGAGCGCUCUGCCUCGCCGUUACCACGGCGAUUGCGUUCACGCCUGGCAGCUGAAGGCCUGGCCUUUAUAAGGGGCCUGCUCUGAGCCGAAGAUAACCACCGCUGUGACUCACCCGGAAACAAAGGAGGACCGUCAGUCCCGCUGAAUACCCAAAGCCCUUGGCAAGCAUAUCGGUCACAUGACCCGACAUCCUGCCCACAUAUUUCUCGCCCGCUGAAGAGAAUAUGCAGGAGAUGAAGACAAGGGAGAUGACAGCAGGGGUGGAAAUGCCAGUCUCUCACCUGGGAUAGCUGAGCUGACAGUCCGUGAAAAACAGCACCUGAGAUGGCUGCAGGGUAACGUGCGCCAAGGACAGACGUCACCUUCGGAGAACAACCAUAUCCCGCAGCUUACAAACAUGACCUGACGUUUGAGACCGGAAGCUUCCACGCGCAGUGAUUUCGGCUGGAAAAAGCCACCGAAGCAGAGAGGUACCCUCAUCGCGACGCAGCGACCCGCAAGGACAUCACCGUUGAGUUUUCCUGUCUCCUGUUUUUUUUUUUUCUGAGAAGUCUAAUUACACAUAGAUUUUAGAUCCUGAAGCAUAGCCAGCAGUUACUGCUAUUGUUAUCUCAUCCAUGCUAUUUCAAAAAAAUUGUAGAAAAUGAGGAGGGAGGGGGUGUCAAUUUGGACAGAUAUUGUACGGAAAUUAAAGUUGUGAGCUGGAAUUCCCAAACUGUCACUCAUGGGCGGAGCUUCCCCCACUGUCACUCAUCCCAACCAGAUUUAACUCGACCUCUUUUCUGUUCCCUGCACUGGUCACAGUGUCAAGGCAGCUGAUUAUGCAAAACAUUUUAAUUAUAUUUAUACAUAGGUUAUACGCUAUAUAUAAGUGUGGAGGUCCACAGACAUGCAUUGAUAAAGUGGGUUGUGAGCUUGAACAAGUUUUAGAACCACUACCUUAGAGCACCUUCACAUGUAGCAUUUCAAUUCUUAUCUAAUCUCAUUAACUUUGAAUGUAUCACUUAGAUGUGAAACGAGAUGAGAAAAACUGGUAAGAAGAGGUUAUAAGUGUUUUCUCUUACUGAGACAUGCUAUGUAUUCUCUGUGAUGAACUAGUUUCCAACAUAAUCGUUGUUUCAAAUAAAAUAAUUGCAGUAUAUUACCACACUUUAAAAUCAAUUAAAAACACUUUAAAGAACUUUUACAUUUGCAUAAAAAAUAGA